rnacentral:rRNA from 2 species
UCCAUAGGUUAAUGAGGCGAACCGGGGGAACUGAAACAUCUAAGUACCCCGAGGAAAAGAAAUCAACCGAGAUUCCCCCAGUAGCGGCGAGCGAACGGGGAGGAGCCCAGAGCCUGAAUCAGCAUGUGUGUUAGUGGAAGCGUCUGGAAAGGCGCGCGAUACAGGGUGACAGCCCCGUACACAAAAGCGCAUGUGCUGUGAGCUCGAUGAGUAGGGCGGGACACGUGGUAUCCUGUCUGAAUAUGGGGGGACCAUCCUCCAAGGCUAAAUACUCCUGACUGACCGAUAGUGAACCAGUACCGUGAGGGAAAGGCGAAAAGAACCCCGGCGAGGGGAGUGAAAAAGAACCUGAAACCGUGUACGUACAAGCAGUGGGAGCACCCUUUGGGUGUGACUGCGUACCUUUUGUAUAAUGGGUCAGCGACUUAUAUUCUGUAGCAAGGUUAACCGAAUAGGGGAGC